rnacentral:misc_RNA from 1 species
GAUGAAGAACGUAGCGAAAUGGGAUAAGUAAUGUGAAUUGCAGAAUUCAGUGAAUCAUCGAAUCUUUGAACGCACAUUGCGCCCGCCAGUAUUCUGGCGGGCAUGCCUGUUCGAGCGUCAUUUCAACCAUCAAGCCCCAGGCUUGUGUUGGAGCCCUGCGGCUGCCGCAGCCUCCCAAAACCAGUGGCGGGCUCGCUAUCACACCGAGUGCAGUAGUUUACUCUUCGCUCAGGGCGUGUGGCGGGUGCUAGCCGUAAAACCCCCAACUUCUCAAGGUUGACCUCGGAUCAGGAAGGAAUACCCGCUGAACUUAAGCAUAUCAAUAAGCGGAGGA